AUGCCUUCCCAUCUACAGACACCAUCGCAGACUCGACACCUCCAUCGACAGUGCAGGCGCCUCCACCUUAGAUUUGGGCUGCAUGAUUCUCGUCGAUUUGGGGCGAGGAUAGCAGGGAGGGCAGGUAGGACCACCAUCCCGAACAACCCAGCCAUCACCAUCUCGGCCGCCGCGCGCGAGGCAGGGGGAGAAGUGGUGCGGCUCAGCCAUGGCCUCGACGUCCGAGUCCCUUCGGCGGACCUUCCAUAUCAGGCGCGGGCGCGGGCGCGGGAAUGGGAGGAGGUGAGGUGGCGGAUCUCCCACGCCAUUUUUGUCGUGGGCCGAGGAGGAGGUGGCGGAUCUCCCAUGCCCUCCGGCCUCCGCGCAUCCUCUGAGUUGCUGGUGGCGGAGCCUCCCUGCGCGGCGGUGGGUUGCAGCCGCGACAUCCAGGCGUCCGUUCCGACGAGCCUCGAGGCGGGGAGCAGCGUUUGCGGGUGGGAUCGGACGACGGCGGCAUAA
rnacentral:lncRNA from 1 species